GAGUACAUCAGCGGCGAACGGGUGAGUAACACGUGGGUGACUUGCCCCGAAGAUGGGGAUAACCUCUGGAAACGGGGGCUAAUACCCAAUGUGCUCGGUGAUUCGGUUCAUCGAGUAAAGCUCCGGCGCUUCGGGAGAGGCCUGCGGCCCAUCAGCUAGUUGGUAGGGUAACGGCCUACCAAGGCAGAGACGGGUAGGGGGCGUGAGAGCGCGGACCCCCACACUGGCACUGAGAUACGGGCCAGACUCCUACGGGAGGCAGCAGUAAGGGAUAUUGCGCAGUGGACGAAAGUCAGACGCAGCGACGCCGCGUGGGCGAUGAAGGCCUUCGGGUUGUGAAGCCCUUUUAUGGGGGAAGAGAAAAAGGACGGUACCCCAGGAAUAAGUCCCGGCUAACUACGUGCCAGCAGCCGCGGUAAAACGUAGGGGACAAGCGUUAUCCGGAUUCACUGGGCGUAAAGAGCGUUGAGGCGGUUCCGUAAGUUGGGCGUGAAAGCUCCGGGCUUAACUCGGAGAUGUCGUUCAAUACUGCGGGGCUUGAGGACAGCAGAGGAAGGUGGAAUUCCCGGUGUAGUGGUGAAAUGCGUAGAUAUCGGGAGGAACACCCGUGGCGAAGGCGGCCUUCUGGGCUGUUCCUGACGCUGAAGGCGAAAGCUAGGGGAGCGAACGGGAUUAGAUACCCCGGUAGUCCUAGCUGUAAACGAUGGAUGCUGGGUGUGGGGGGUGUAAAUUCCCUCUGUGCCGAAGCAAACGCGUUAAGCAUCCCGCCUGGGGACUACGGCCGCAAGGCUAAAACUCAAACGAAUUGACGGGGGCCCGCACAAGCAGCGGAGCGUGUGGUUUAAUUCGAUGCUACACGAAGAACCUUACCUGGGUUUGACAUGCACGUGGUAGGGAACCGAAAGGGGACCGACCUUCGGGAGCGUGCACAGGUGCUGCAUGGCUGUCGUCGGCUCGUGCCGUGAGGUGUCGGGUUAAGUCCCGUAACGAGCGCAACCCUUGCCCUUAGUUACAAGUGUCUAAGGGGACUGCCCGGGACAACUGGGAGGAAGGUGGGGAUGACGUCAAGUCAGCAUGGCCUUUAUAUCCAGGGCUACACACACGCUACAAUGGCCGGUACAAUAGGUUGCGAAGUCGUGA
rnacentral:rRNA from 1 species